GGAGGUAUGGCUCAAGUUGUAGAGUGUAGAGUGGUAAAUUUAAGGGCCUGGGUUCAAACCCCAGUAACACCU
rnacentral:tRNA from 1 species